GUUCAGCAGGUCAGAGGCCUCACCGAAGUAGUGCAGGCCAUGUAGCAGCAGCAGCAACAGCCACAGGCAUCAGUGCGGCUGGAAAGAGCAUCAUCGGAGUUUCAAAAUUCGAUAAUAAGGUGGGCCACCUGGGCCAGUCGCCCUGUCUUCCCUGGAAAGGGGAAGCCGAGGGUGGAGAGCCCUCAAUCUAAUCAUGAUUCCACCCC
rnacentral:lncRNA from 1 species